AUUGAACGCUGGCGGCAUGCUUUACACAUGCAAGUCGAACGGGGUGAGGGGGCAACUCCUCAUUCAGUGGCGAACGGGUGAGUAAUGCAUCGGAACGUGUCCCGUAGUGGGGGAUAACGCCGGGAAACCGGCGCUAAUACCGCAUAUGCUCUACGGAGGAAAGUGGGGGACCGCAAGGCCUCACGCUAUGGGAGCGGCCGAUGUCCGAUUAGCUUGUUGGCGGGGUAAAGGCCCACCAAGGCGACGAGCGGUAGCUGGUCUGCGAGGAUGAUCAGCCACGCUGGGACUGAGACGCGGCCCAGGCACAUACGGGAGGCAGCAGUGGGGAAUUUUGGACAAUGGGGGCAACCCUGAUCCAGCCAUGCCGCGUGCGGGAAGAAGGCCUUCGGGUUGUAAACCGCUUUUAGCCGGAAAGAAAAGGCACGCCCCAAUACGGCGUGUUCUUGACGGUACCGGCGGAAUAAGCACCGGCUAACUACGUGCCAGCAGCCGCCGUAAUAC
rnacentral:rRNA from 1 species